CCUACGGGAGGCAGCAGUGAGGAAUAUUGGUCAAUGGGCGGAAGCCUGAACCAGCCAAGUAGCGUGCGGGAUGAAGGCCCUACGGGUCGUAAACCGCUUUUGCACGGGGAUAACACCAUCCACUUGUGGAGGUCUGCAGGUACCGUGCGAAUAAGGGCCGGCUAAUUCCGUGCCAGCAGCCGCGGUAAUACGGAAGGCCCGAGCGUUAUCCGGUUUCAUUGGGCUUAAAGGGAGCGUAGGCGGGCGUUCACGUCAGUUGUAAAAUCUGCCGGCUCAACCGCGCACAGCAGUUGAAACUGGCAGCCUUGAGUACACAAGAGGCAGGCGGAAUUCGUGGUGUAGCGGUGAAAUGCAUAGAUAUCACGAAGAACUCCGAUUGCGAAGGCAGCCU
rnacentral:rRNA from 1 species